rnacentral:rRNA from 1 species
AUUGAACGCUGGCGGCAGGCUUAACACAUGCAAGUCGAACGAGUGGCGGACGGGUGAGUAAUGCUUGGGAAUCUAGCUUAUGGAGGGGGAUAACUACGGGAAACUGUAGCUAAUACCGCGUACCAUAGGAUGAGCCCAAGUGGGAUUAGGUAGUUGGUGAGGUAAAGGCUCACCAAGCCGACGAUCUCUAGCUGGUCUGAGAGGAUGACCAGCCAAACAGGGAGUGAGAGACUGCCCAGACUCCAACGGGAGUCAGCAGGAGAGAAAAUUGCGCGAGUGGGGCAACCUGACGCAGCCAUGCCGCGUGAAUGAAGAGGGCCUUCGGGUUGUAAAGUUCUUUCGGUAGCGAGGCGUUAACUACAGAAGAAGCACCGGCUAACUCCGUGCCAGCAGCCGCGGUAAUAC